rnacentral:rRNA from 1 species
AUGCCUCUCUUCACUGCAACCUCGUCCUGCUUGCUAAAUGGAUCACAGGGGCUGAGCUUUUUCCACGCUCGUGGACUCAGGCAAGAUGAUCCCCUCUCGCCACUGCUGUUCAUCCUAGCAAUCGACCCCCUGUUCCAUUUGCUGGACACGGCCACAAACUGUGGUCUGAUCGCGCCGCUGCCAGGACGCGACGCAAUCAUGCGCGUGAGCCUGUACGCCGAUGAUGCAGUGAUCUUUAAUCCAGUAAAGGAGGAGGUGGGCAUAUUGCUAGAGCUGCUAAACUCCUUCGGUGAGGCGACGGGAUUGAAGCUAAACCAAACAAAAUCCUCUGUCAUUUUGAUGAACUGUAAUGCCCAGCUUUUGGCAGAGGUUUCGCACAGCUUUGGUGGCUCGAUCACCAGCUUCCCCACAACCUACUUCGGGCUGUCAAUCUCUCCUACAAGACUACGUCUAGUGCACUUUCAAUUCCUCAUCGAUCGAGUCAAAUCAUGCCUCGCGGGAUGGAAGGGCAAGCUGAUGACUUUGGCGGGCCGACGCGCUUUGUUGCGAGCGGUGCUCUUUGCCCUGCCAACUUUCGCACUGACAGUGCUCAAGGUGCCGAAGAGGGUACUGAAGGAAAUCGACAAGGCCCAGCGACGCUUCCUGUGGGCUCAGGACGAAGCGCUGACUGGUGGAAAGUGCAAAGUGGCAUGGAGCUCGGUCUGCUCACCGGUAGAAAAGGGCGGGCUGGAGAUACCUGAUCUGCAUCGGUUCAGUUCCACCCUCAGUCUAUGCUGGCUUUGGCUAUCCUGGCAGUAGCCGGCGAGACCCUGGCCGGCUUUCCUGUUGCCAUGCGACAAGAUGGACAGAGAGAUGUUUGAACGAGCCACGACGGUCCGGAUCGGCGAUGGCCAGCAAGAAAUAUUCUGGACAAGCUCCUGGCUGGAUGACACCCCGCUAUGCUCAUCCUUCCCGGACCUCUUCAAGCACUCCAGGCGCAAGAACCGCAUGGUGGCUGCAGCACUCACCAACGAACAGUGGAUCAGAGAUCUGCGCCACGGUAACACAGCUUCCAUCAUCACUGAAUACUUGCACCUUUGGCGGCGGCUCCAGCUCUCGGGAAUCACCCUCAAAAACCAAGUGGUCGAUCAGAUCGUGUGGAGAGCAGGUGGUGGUGCCUGUUACUCUGCUCGAGCUGCAUACAUAAUGCAUUUCAAGGACAUGCCAAGCACAAGCCACAGCAAGGUCGCCUGGAAAUGUUGGGCGCCGGGGACUGUCAAGAUGUCCGCGUGGCUACUACACAAGAACAGGCUUUGGUGCAAUGACAGACUGCAGAGGCUGGGCUGGCCAAACGGGUAUUUCUGUAGCCUCUGUGCCAGAAGCCUGGAAUCUACGUCACACAUCAUGUGCGAAUGCCCCUUCUCCUGGAAGAUUUGGAUGGAAGCCUCAACCUGGAACGGUUGUGAGGCCAUGAGACAUGUCAAGCCGCCGCACCACACCUCUCUGCAGCACAGCCAGGAGAUGAUUAGACGCACACCAAUAGGAGCGAGAAGAGGUUUCAGAACCAUGCUGCUUCUGAUUGCCUGGCAUAUGUGGAAGGAGAGGAACACCUGUGUUUUCAGAGCCAAAAUGACACGGCUAGACGAUGUCCUUCAGGCUGUCAAGCUGGAUCUUGCAUAA